rnacentral:misc_RNA from 1 species
UCGCAGCUUGCGCCGGCAGUCCCGGCAGAGUCCUCCGACUUGCGUCGGUUAGCAACUGCCGGUGGGGGUUGCGCUCGUUAUGGCACUUAAGCCGACACCUCACGGCACGAGCUGACGACAACCAUGCAGCACCUCGCCUGACGCCAUUGCUGGCCAAGGCCCUUUCAGGCCAUGUUCGUCAGGCGUUUGAGCCCGGGUAAGGUUCCUCGCGUAUCAUCGAAUUAAACCACAUGUUCCUCCGCUUGUGCGGGCCCCCGUCAAUUCCUUUGAGUUUCACCGUUGCCGGCGUACUCCCCAGGUGGGAUGCUUAACGCUUUCGCUGUGCCACCCAGGCCUCAUUCGGCCCGGACAGAUAGCAUCCAUCGUUUACUGUGCGGACUAC